rnacentral:miRNA from 1 species
UUAGAUUUUUUUUUUUCUUU